AAAUAGAUAUAGUAUGGUUUACUCCUUUCCUGUAACAAAUAUGAAGAAUAUCAUCCAGUUACUUUGUGUUGUGUCCUCAAUAAAAUGUGUUACUUCUCAAAUUUCUCUAGUGGAGUCUGGUCCUGGAAUAGUGAAGCCAACAGAAGACAUUUCAGUGACAUGUAAAGUGACUGGUGCCUCCUUGACUGACAGCACUAACAUGUAUGGAGUACACUGGAUCCGUCAAACUGAUGGAAAUAAACUACAGUGGUUAGGAGCUUUAUGGUAUAAUGCAAAUAAAGACAUUGCUCAAAGUCUGAAGGGACGCCUGGAACUGUCAAGAGACACAAAUAAAGGAGAAGUUUAUUUUAAACUUGCUGGAGCAAAAACAGAAGAUACAGGAAGAUAUUACUGUGCAAGGCACUAUCACAGUGUAACAUGUGUACUGAGAGGCAGAGCAAAAACUGGUCUGAGCUAUUUUAUGUAA